CGCAGAGACAGAUUGAAGCAGCAAUUAUCUUCUCUUCACAGACCUGGUGAAAGACUGACAGCACCGGAAAAAUUAGCAAGGAGGUUCUGUGAUCUGGAGCUGGAACUGAUGGGUUUCCACAAGGGCACAAGGUGAAUAAUUCACUAAAACUACUCAUACACAAUGGCAAAUGUUUGCAGAACCGGGCUAUUAGUUCAGGUAAAUAGAGCUGUUUAUACUUGUGGGUAAAAUGUUGCAAUUGUUUGACUGUACGUGGUAUACAUUGGCAAAGAGUCCAGAGGGAAGUAACAAUGAUUGAGAGAAGGUUUGAAUGUAUCUAAUGUGUUACCCAAACUGUUGAUUCUAAAAAAAAAUAUGGCAACAUAACUCGGCAUCUAAAGAUUUUCCCAUGUAAGCUCUGCAGAGAAAUAAACUCAGAACUUUGAAAACUGGAAUACAUCAUGUCAAUUCCCACAGCUAACUCAAUUCCCAUUACUAACUGUAAUGGAAAGUAAUAUCUGUUAAGUAUUCUGGAGACUGACUUUUCCUCAUUAAAAAAUCAGAUGACCAUUAUUUAAAGUACUCUUUCAUAAAAGAUUAGGAAAAUUUAGAUUGGAAAGGACCCGUGGAAGUCACCCAGUCCCAUACCCUACUCAAAGACCUAAUUGCAAACUCCGAUCAGGUUGCAGAUGGGUUUGGCCCGUUGACUUCUGAAAAUCCGCAGGGAUGGAGGUUCCCCAGGAGGUUCUUUCUGGGUGGUCUCUUCCAGCACUGACCUACUCUCACUGUGAAGAAUUUCUUCCUCUUGUCUGGUCAAAGCAAAUGUGACCUUUAUCUCAUGUCCUUUUGCUGAGCAUUCCUAUGAAUGGUUUGGCUCUGUCUUCUCCAUGGCUUUCCCCACAGGCAAUGAAAGACUGCAGUGUGGUUCCCUUUGCCUUUUCAACUGCAAGAUAAACAAACCAAGUUCUCCUAGCCUCUUCUCAUAUUCUGUCAGCAGACAAAAACUUGAAAACAUGAUGUUUGUGAGGUUGUGA
rnacentral:lncRNA from 1 species